rnacentral:rRNA from 1 species
GGGUCAGUAGGUUGGUCGUGCCACCGGUACGUACUGUCUCACUGAUUCCUCCUUCCUGAAGAACCGUAAUGCCACUAAUUUGGUGUUGCGGGGAAACAGGACUGUUACUUUGAAAAAAUUAGAGUGUUUAAAGCAAGCUAGCGCUUGAAUACAUUAGCAUGGAAUAAUGAAAUAGGACGAUCGAUCCUAUUUUGUUGGUUUCUAGGAUUGACGUA